UACGGGGGGGGCAAGCGUUGUUCGGAAUUACUGGGCGUAAAGGGCUCGUAGGCGGCCAACUAAGUCAGACGUGAAAUCCCUCAGCUUAACUGGGGAACUGCGUCUGAUACUGGAUGGCUUGGAUUCGGGAGAGGAAUGCGGAAUUCCAGGUGUAGCGGUGAAAUGCGUAGUUAUCUGGAGGAACACCGGUGGCGAAGGCGGCAUUCUGGACCGAUAUUGACGCUGAGGAGCGAAAGCCAGGGGAGCAAACGGG
rnacentral:rRNA from 1 species